GAUGAACGCUGGCGGCGUGCCUAAUACAUGCAAGUCGAGCGAACAGACGAGGAGCUUGCUCCUCUGACGUUAGCGGCGGACGGGUGAGUAACACGUGGAUAACCUACCUAUAAGACUGGGAUAACUUCGGGAAACCGGAGCUAAUACCGGAUAAUAUAUUGAACCGCAUGGUUCAAUAGUGAAAGACGGUUUUGCGGUCACUUAUAGAUGGAUCCGCGCCGCAUUAGCUAGUUGGUAAGGUAACGGCUUACCAAGGCGACGAUGCGUAGCCGACCUGAGAGGGUGAUCGGCCACCCUGGAACUGGGCCACGGUCCAGACUCCUACGGGACGCCCCAGUCGGCAAUCUUCCGCAGUGGGCGAAAGCCUGACGGAGCAACGCCGCGUGAGUGAUGACGGUCUUCGGAUCGUAAAACUCUGUUAUUAGGGAAGAACAAAUGUGUAAGUAACUAUGCACGUCUUGACGGUACCUAAUCAGAAAGCCACGGCUAACUACGUG
rnacentral:rRNA from 1 species